rnacentral:snRNA from 1 species
AUCUUUUAAUCAUCAUCUGUUCUUAUCAGUUUAAUAUCUGAUACGGGGGACUACAUAUUAAAUGGAUUUUUCGAACAGGGAGUCGGAAAUGGGGCUUGCUCCGUCCGCUCCACGCAUCGACCCGGUAUUGCACAAGCUUGGCACUGAGGUGUCUUAA